AAUAUUAAUAUUAAAUAAAGACGAAAAUAAAAAUUAAAUAAAAUUAAAUAAGGCAUUAAGAAAUAUGGAAAAUAUUUUUUGAUAUUUUUAUGAAUAAAUAAAAUAUUUUAAAAUAAUUAAAAUCAGAACAGAAAAAUGGAUGUGAAUUAAAAAAGAAAAUAAAAAUGGACAUGUGUUAGUGUUGAUGGGCCAGGCAGGGGAGGUGU
rnacentral:lncRNA from 1 species